UUGUCUACUUUCUUUCUGUUUUCCUUUCAAAAUUUGUCUACUCUUAUUUCAAUUAAGUGAAAGUCAAUUACUACCAUGAUUAUUUUCAUCAACAACACCAGGAACACCACCAAUAAUUUCAACAGGCAAUGAACAAUAUUACAAGUUGCUAUGGUGCAAACAAUAAUAAACUUCAAUUUCCAGCUAUGAUCUCAAUCAAAUGUGAAAAUAAAUUCAACAAUUCUGGAAUGAUGAGUAACUUGGUUGAUUUACUUCUUCUUGGUUCAAAAUAUCUAAAUUUGCUGGUAAUCGUAACCUUCAAAAGGCUUGGUGUUGUGUCACUGGCUUACUGGCAUUGAAUUGCAGCUAAUUUUCAAUUUUGAUAUAAUUAGAGGCCAAGAGGGGUUGUUAAUUUGUCCAUUAACUAUGCGUUAAUGUGAUCAUCUUAUUUGCAACGAAAUUUUUGAUCUUUACGUAACUUCUAAAAAUGGAAAGCAAUUCACUCUCUGAAUAUACUUUUGUACAAUGGAACUGCUGGAGCUUGUAAAGUGUCAUCGGCAAUUUGACAAAAAAAUAUCCAAGAACCUUGAAUUUGGUGUAAAUAAUGAGCACUCACAAAACGUUUUUUUGCUUGGUAUCUAAAUAUCCGUACAAUUUCAGAUUAAUUUACUAAAGAUGAGCUGAUCUAUAACAUGGUUCUACAAUUUUAUUAUCUAUUGGUGUAAGCGCUAUUAAGAAAGGGUAAUAAUUACUCUUAUAUGUGCAUUUAUAGCACACUUCUGGAAGGAGCUUUUGGAAAAGCAUUUUAUAUUGCUGUCACAAAUGAUGUUCUCAUUGUGUACUUAAAAGGAAAAUUGAACAAACUUCAAUGCCUGCAUGAUUCUAAUAUUACAACACUGACCACUGAUCAUAUUGAUUAUCAUCAUAAUUACGGAAACACCAUCAUCAUAAACCACCCAAAUAUAUAAUGCUCUUAAGGCUGCAAGCAAAAAAAAUGAUGACUAUUGAAAUAAGCUCUGAUUGAGUAGGAAGAAUACAAUUUGAACGACUCCACCUUCAUCAAGGAUAUCAUGUUCACCUAAUCCAUCAAGUUGACAUGAUUGUGCAAAAAAAGUCGCUAUUUCAAACGAGUAUUCAGAGUCAAGAGAAAGAGAAAAUGCUUAGUAAGGUAAACAAACGAUCAUUUUCAUCCGACUGAACACUUAAUCCUGACUAUUAAC